GGCUUUGGAAGUAAACAAAAUAAAGUAUGUCAACUAAAUUUAUAUCACAUAAUGUUAUAAAAUACCUUUCAUUUAAUAAAUAUAUUUGUCAUAUUACUUUUUAUGUAAAUAUGCGUUUGAAAUAUUUGACUUUAAAAUAUAUUCAGUCCUGUAUGAUCAUACAAAUAGGCGCGCGACAAAGCUGUAUUGACUCAAUUUCGAAAUUAUCAAGGUAAGCCAUUUGUCUGUAUUGGGUGGCCGAAACCGCGCUGAUGUGUGCCGGCGCAUUCUGAAGCAUUGCAUUUCAAAUGAGGUGGCCAACCAGUACAGCUGGCAUGGGAGGAAGAAAAAGGCAGUAUUUGGAAAACUUCCAUUGGCUGAUGCUGUGCAGAAAUCUGUCAUGCGGUCCUUGAAAUGCACAGCUGCAGAAGUUGAACAUGAGUGCAGGGAAUGGUUUAGAACAGCCUCUGACCGUGACGGUGGAAGAAAACAGAGGACAGCCAAAAAAAGUGAUGAACCGUCUUAAUGAAUUUUAACUCGUGUGUGUUUUAACUUUUAAUUUAGUCUCCUGCUGCAAUUUGUUAUGAUGUAAAGGUCUCUUUGAACUUGAAAUUAAUUAUUUUACACAACUUUUCUUUUAAUAUGCAUAAUGAUGGAAGCAGUGUAUAUAUUUUUUUGUUUGUUUUUUUGCCUUUAUUACCUAAAUAGCUGUAACUCUGUGUGUUACUUAGGUAAACGUAACUUUUCAAUAUAGUCUUGUUCUAAUUGUUUUCAUUUGUUUUUUUUGAAGAAAACAAGUUUCAUGUAGUUUGUAUUAAUAUUGAAGACAAUAUUCUCGUAAUAUUUUUUAUUCAAAACUUUCUUGAAAUGCCCAUAAUUUAUGUCUAAGUUCAGGGGACAUACAAGGUGUUUAUUUCUGAAAAUACUCAAUUAUAAAAACCAAUUCCCUCAAUUCAUUUUGAAUUUGAUAAGUGACAGAACUCAAUUAUUUUUAUUUUCAAGUGAUCAUUUCCUGGUGAAAACAACAAAUACUUUUAAUAUAAGUUAGUUUAAGGUAUUUAUAACCAUAUGUAAAUAAGUCCCAGUAAACUACUCAAUUAUAUAUCAUUCAGCAAUCUAUUGCUCUGUCCUACUGCAGUGUAUUCAUUAACAAAUACUGGCUGCUUUAUACUGCAUAACAUUAUUAGUUCUCUUUAAAGGAAUGGUCUGACUUAAUGGCUUUUUUUUCAGUAUUUUGGGAAUGUGACCCCAUUCCAUGAAAUUGGGAAAUGUUGUGUCAAUAUAUAUAUUUACCUGCAGUUCAGAAAAAGUACAACUGAUUAACUACAAGUCUUAUUCCACAUUUCACAGCUAGUAUUUACCAUUUAAGACUAUUCAACAAUAAGGAAUUGCUUGACUUGAUUUAGGGGAAAAAAAUGUGUUCUGCCAUUGAGAACAUGGCCCAUUACCUUAAAGUGAGCUUUCUAGUAACUUGUACAUUUACAUUUUGUGCCAUUACUAUGUUGUGUUUUUUUUGCUGGAUAGCAAUUUGCUGAAUUUACUUGUUACAAUUUUUUUGUGUAUCGUAUGACUGCUAUGUUGUAUUUUGCUGACAAGUCUUGUUACUAUUUUUUGUGUAUCAUAUGACUACAUUGUUGUAUUUUGCUGACUAGUCUAGUAACUAUUUUUUGUAUAUCAUAUGACUACAUUGUUGUAUUUUGCUGACUAGUCUUACUUGUUACUAUUUAUUGUGUAUCGUAUGACUACUAUGUUGUAUUUUGCUGACUAGUCUUACUUGUUACUAUUUUUUGUGUAUCGUAUGACUACUAUGUUGUAUUUUGCUGACUAGUCUUAUUUGUUACUAUUUUUUGUGUAUCGUAUGACUACUAUGUUGUAUUUUGCUAACUAGUCUUAAUUGUUACUAUUUUAUGGGUAUCGUACAUUAUCCAGUUUAAAGAAAGGGUUAUUUUAUUAAUUGCCAGGGUAUAUAGACCAGUUUUGAUAAUAUGGGUGAUAUGAACCAUUUAUACAUGCAUGUUUGGUAAUUUUCCAUGUAUACAAUAUGCGUGUUGGAUACGUUGGUUUUCUUCAUAAUUCUCUAUUUGAUUUUCAUUUGCUGAAUAUUCUAUUACCAAAAUACAAAACUCAAGUCAUUUGGUCAUUUAACAUUUUGUUUCAAUGUGUUACUUUUUCAGUUUCUGUACCUGUAGAAUUAUAGAGACUGUUUAAAUAAUUUCUUUUACAUUUGUUGUUAGUCAAUGUAUAUAUUAAUUAAUUUUACACCAUUAGAAUAAAAAUGUUGGAAUUAGUAAUAAAUCAGUUUAAUAUU